GCUUGUACCUGUUUGGUGGAGAGCCUAGAGAACGGUGGAGAUAAAAAAUUGAUGAAAUCCGCCACAGCUGGCUGGGAGUGAACCUGGAUCAUCGGGAGGAUCCCCCCACCCCAGGAAAGUUAGCACCUGUCAUGUGUAUCAGAAGACCCCCGCGGCCUCACACACAGGCACCGGCCUUUUCUUGACAACGUCCCCAGGUGACUCCUAAAACUCAAGGACCAUGUCCAGCUCAGGUCAGUACAACAGUUUGGGUGUUUAUGGAACUCAGGGCCACUGACCCCAACCCUCCUGGAUACUGCCGUGGGUCCAUGGAGCCAUGUGGGCCUGGAGGUUUGCAUAUGCUGUGUCUUGGCUGGGAAGACUUAACUCCUGCCUGCCUCUUUAAGGGACUGUAGGAUGUCCAAGCAUAUCCAGGUGCCCCUGGGAAGCUAGACUGAGCCCUCUGUCGGCCCCAACCUUCAAGAAGGAGAUGGGAGAAGAAUAAGAUGCCCUGGGACAUUUGUGUCACCUACAGUAUCACUCAGGGCUCAGCCUCUGCCAUGAAUACCUUGCAGUUAUGACAGGGGACCUGUGUACUUCGGAUUUCUUGUGCUCAGAGGUGGUAGCCAGCCUGGGCACUAUGCUCACACUUGUCCCUGUCCCUUGGAGGCAGACCCCAAGUAUAGCUUUGGACCCACCUAAAUGAAUCAUGGUCAAGGGCAGCCUCGCCUGCCAGACUGCAGGCAGGGCUUCCACACCAUCUCGUAUAAGCCAGAGCAACCUGUAUUUGGUCCCUGGACCCCUCUGCUACCCGUGCAUUGGUGUGUGUGGGCUGCUGCACACAUUCCCCUUGUUUUUGUGUCUGCAGCUGGGGUGAGUGCCUGAGAGUAGGGCAAACACAGACAGCUAGGGAAGAGGCUCCAGGACUUGGCAGAUGGGACAGCACAGAAGAGGAGAGUACAGGCAUAGAUGGACUGGGCAGAGCAUCUGGACAUACUCCAAGAGUGUAGUUGGCCCAGGUAGCACUAGGGACCUAAUAGCCCUUGGCCAAGGAGCUCUGGUUUACAGAUCCUGGGCUUUCUUGGGUACCUACCCUAAGGAAGACCUGCAUGUGGUACCUCCAUCCUCAGCCACAGGCAGCCAGCCUCCAGUAUAUACAAUCCCUUUAGUGUCCCAUGGGUGCAGAUGGACCUCUAGAGUCCAGUGGUGCACCUUUUACAAGGGCUCGGGCUAGGAAUGUUCCCCUGGGUCUCUGAGUCCUGAUUGCUAGUAUGUGUUGGAGGUGGGAGUCCCAGAGGGGUCCUGGGUCAAGACAUAUGAGGGAGGGUCUAGAAAAGAAAAGGAUGGGCUGCCUGGUGGUAAAGUGGCCAGUUCUGGUCUAUGAUGCAGCCUCUACUUAGUACCAUGCAAGCAAGAUGAGGCUGGGUGUAUACUGUAGGUGCUUACUUGGUGCUAGUGUUAGUUUCAGGGACCCCCAUCCCCAUAAACAAAAUCCUCCUUUUCAGGGGCUUCUGGGUAGAAAGAAACAGUCCCAUCUCACCUGUGGCCUGGAGACACUGGGCCAUGAAGUCUCUGAGACACAGGCUUAGACUAGGGAGCCUUGGAAAGUUUGGGUCUCUAGUAUUCAGUUGGCAAAGUUGGGAUUGCACCCCUUGAAUGUGCCAGACUGGAUCUGGGCCUGGGAGGUCUGAGCAUAGGCAAGCCCAUGGCCUGGCAUCCUACCCAUGCUUCUGUAGCUACCCAUGAAGCUCGCCAUGCUCAAUGUUUGCCCAGUAAGUAGCCAGCCGCAGGAGACCAGCCUGGCAACUGGUAGCCACAUGGCUUUCCUUAGUUUCUGAGGAUGGCUGGGUUUCUAAAAGAACUUGCUUGUCCCAUAGGUUCCCUAUCUAGAAGGGGGAACUAAAAUUUGUAGGCAGUGGACCUGACCACCAAGGCAGAGAAGCACACUGGAUUAUAUAUGGGGUUUCCAGAUUCCCAAGGUCUGGCACCCCUAGCCUAGAGACCAGGCUAGUGGACUCCCUGGGGUGGGAAAGGACACAGAUUCAUCUGAUUGCCAGAUACUCUUACAUGUUUUUAGAUAAGUUAUCUAGCCUAGGCUGAUCUUGAACUCUGUAUGUAGUUGAGGGUGACCUUGAACUCUCGAUCUUCUUGCCUUCACAUCAUGAGUACUUGGGUUACAAGUGUGAGCCACUGCACCCUGGGCAUCGAACACAGGGUCCAGUGCUUGCUAGGCAGGUACCACACCAUCUGACAUAUAGCUCUAGAUCUUAAACAUUUUUAAAAGAUAUUUUAGAAAUUGAUGUGUAUCAGUGUUUUGCAUUCAUGUGUGUCUGUAUGCCACAUUCAUACCUGGUGCUCACGGAGCCUAGGAGAAGGUAUUGGAUCUCUUGGAAUAGUGAGAGAUUGUUAUGAACCACGAUGUGGGUGCUGGGACUGGAACCAGGGUCCUCUGAAGGCAUGAUGAGUGUUUUUAACUACUGAGCCAUUGCUUCUACCCCAAGAUCUCUGUUUAGCCAUACAAAUACCUUGCAUUUAGUCGUUGGAGGAAGGUCCAGUGGCCCUCCAUGGUGUCGAGCUUCCUAGAGUUCUCUGAAAAACGUUGCGGUCUCUUGCAAUGCAACUGAGUCUUCUAUUCCCUCAUCCCCAAAGCAUGAAAACUCCCAUGAUGCUGUGUGGCUGGGAGUGGGGGUAGGGAGUAGAAUCAAACCUCAGCCUCUCCGUGCCUUCCCCUUUAGCCAAGGAUCACGCCCAUUGUCACAGGGGCAAAGUGAACCUGGAGGGCCAGCCUUACCAGUGCCAGGCACAUUCCAAGGACAGAGUGUCCACAUUGGCUAGGCCUCGUGACAAAGGCCUGGGACUUGGGAAGAUUGAAAAUUUUGAGGUCAGCACUUGGGAGGUAGAGGCAGGCAGAUCUCUGUGAGACUAGCCUGGUCUACAGAGGGACAUCCAGGAAAGCCAGGGCUACACAGAGAAACCCUGUCUUAAGAAAAAAGAAAGAAAAGAAAAAAGCUGGGCAGUGGUGGCACAUGCCUUUAAUCCCAGCACUUGGGAGGCAGAGGCAGGUGGAUUUCUGAGUUCGAGGCCAGCCUGGUCUACAGAGUGAAUUUCAGGACAGCCAGGACUACACAGAGAAACCCUGUCUCAAAAAGCC